rnacentral:rRNA from 1 species
GACGAACGCUGGCGGCGUGCCUAAUACAUGCAAGUCGAGCGAACAGAAAAGGAGCUUGCUCCUUUGACGUUAGCGGCGGACGGGUGAGUAACACGUGGGCAACCUACCCUAUAGUUUGGGAUAACUCCGAGAAACCGGGGCUAAUACCGAAUAAUCUCUUUUGCUUCAUGGUGAAAGACUGAAAGACGGUUUCGGCUGUCGCUAUAGGAUGGGCCCGCGGCGCAUUAGCUAGUUGGUGAGGUAACGGCUCACCAAGGCGACGAUGCGUAGCCGACCUGAGAGGGGGAUCGGCCACACUGGGACUGAGACACGGCCCAGACUCCUACGGGAGGCAGCAGUAGGGAAUCUUCCACAAUGGGCGAAAGCCUGAUGGAGCAACGCCGCGUGAGUGAAGAAGGUUUUCGGAUCGUAAAACUCUGUUGUAAGGGAAGAACAAGUACAGUAGUAACUGGCUGUACCCUGACGGUACCUUAUUAGAAAGCCACGGCUAACUACGUGCCAGCAGCCGCGGUAA